rnacentral:tRNA from 1 species
GCGACGUAGCUCAAUUGGCAGAGCAAGCUUCCGGUGGUCACACACACGUCCGCCCGGCCUCACUCAUGACAGCGGGCCGAAGCGUUUCGGUUAUCUGGAGAAUGCCGGUUCGAUUCCGGCGACGGGACGCACCA